CCUACGGGUGGCAGCAGUGGGGAAUAUUGCGCAAUGGGCGAAAGCCUGACGCAGCGACGCCGCGUGAGGGAUGAAGGUCCUCGGAUCGUAAACCUCUGUCAGCAGGGAAGAACGGUCACUGUACUAAUCAGCAGUGAAUUGACGGUACCUGCAAAGGAAGCACCGGCUAACUCCGUGCCAGCAGCCGAGGUAAUACGGAGGGUGCGAGCGUUAAUCGGAAUUACUGGGCGUAAAGCGCUCGUAGGCGGUAUGUCAAGUCAAGGGGGAAAUCCCCGCGCUCAACGUGGGAACUGCCUUUGAAACUGGCAAACUGGAGUGUGAGAGAGGAUAGUGGAAUUCCAGGUGUAGGAGUGAAAUCCGUAGAUAUCUGGAGGAACAUCAGUGGCGAAGGCGACUAUCUGGCACAUAACUGACGCUGAGGAGCGAAAGCGUGGGUAGCAAACAGGAUUAGAUACCCUAGUAGUC
rnacentral:rRNA from 1 species